rnacentral:rRNA from 1 species
GAAGGACUUUGCGGUUUWAAUCGCAAGGAGGUUAAGGCAAUAACAGGUCUGUAAUGCCCUUAGAUGUCCGGGCUGCACGCGCGCUACACUGAUGCGUUCAUCGAGUUUAUCCUUGGCCGAGAGGCCUAGGUAAUCUUUAGUACGCAUCGUGAUGGGGAUCGAUUAUUGCAAUUAUUAAUCGUGAACGAGGAAUGCCUAGUAUGCGCAAGUCACCAGCUUGUGCAGAUUACGUCCCUGCCCUUGUACACACCGCCCGUCGCUCCUACCGAUCGAGUGAUCCGGUGAA